ACCUCAGUGGUGUAGUGGUAGCAUGCGUGCCCACCAUGGAUGAAACUCAGGUUCGACUCUCGCCUGAGGUC